rnacentral:rRNA from 1 species
AGUCUGCAACCCGACUCCAUGAAGCUGGAUUCGCUAGUAAUCGCGCAUCAGCCACGGCGCGGUGAAUACGGUUCCCGGGCCUUGUACACACCGCCCGUCAAGCCAUGAAAGCCGGGGGUACCUGAAGUGCGUAACCGCGAGGAGCGCCCUAGGGUAAAACUGGUGAUUGGGGCUAAGUCGUAACAAGGUAGC